rnacentral:rRNA from 1 species
UGCAAGUCGAGGGGCAGCGAGAGAGUAGCAAUACUUUUGUCGGCGACCGGCGGACGGGUGCGUAACGCGUAUGCAACCUACCUUAUACAGGGGGAUAACCUUUCGAAAGGGAGACUAAUACCGCAUAACAUUACUUUGAGGCAUCUUAGGGUAAUUAAAUCUUCGGAGGUAUAAGAUGGGCAUGCGUAGCAUUAGCUAGAUGGUGCGGUAACGGCGUACCAUGGCGACGAUGCUUAGGGGUUCUGAGAGGAAGGUCCCCCACACUGGUACUGAGAUACGGACCAGACUCCUACGGGAGGCAGCAGUGAGGAAUAUUGGUCAAUGGUCGGAAGACUGAACCAGCCAUGCCGCGUGCAGGAAGAAUGUCUUAUGGAUUGUAAACUGCUUUUGUAUGGGGCUAAUAAUAACUUUGCGAAGUUAGAUGCAGGUACCAUACGAAUAAGGAUCGGCUAACUCCGUGCCAGCAGCCGCGGUAAUACGGAGGAUUCGAGCGUUAUCCGGAUUUAUUGGGUUUAAAGGGUGCGUAGGCGGUUAAAUAAGUUUGAGGUUAAAUGCGUUAGCUCAACUAGCGUUUGCCUUGAAAACUGUUUGACUAGGAUGUAAACGGCGCAGGCGGAAUGAAUCAUGUAGCGGUGACAUGCAUAGAUAUGAUUCAGAACACCGAUCGCGAAGGCAGCUUGCGAGGAUACGAUUGACGCUGAAGCACGAAAGCGUGGGUAUCGAACAGGAUUAGAUACCCUGGUAGUCCACGCUGUAAACGAUGAUAACUAGAUGUUGGCGAUAUACAGUCAGUGUCGAAUUGAAAGAUAUAAGUUAUCCACCUGGGGAGUACGAUCGCAAGGUUGAAACUCAAAGGAAUUGACGGGGGCCCGCACAAGCGGAGGAGCAUGUGGUUUAAUUCGAUGAUACGCGAGG